rnacentral:miRNA from 11 species
UGUGUAUUUAUAUGUGUGUGUGUGUGUGUGUGUGUGUGUAUGCACACACACACACACACACACAUAUACACACACACACAUACACAUACAUAU